rnacentral:rRNA from 1 species
UGUAUCGGUAAUGGCUCACCAAGGCGUCGACGGGUAGCCGGCCUGAGAGGGUGACCGGCCACACUGGGACUGAGACACGGCCCAGACUCCUACGGGAGGCAGCAGUGGGGAAUAUUGCACAAUGGGCGGAAGCCUGAUGCAGCAACGCCGCGUGAGGGAUGACGGCCUUCGGGUUGUAAACCUCUUUUAGCAGGGAAGAAGCGAGAGUGACGGUACCUGCAGAAAAAGCACCGGCUAACUACGUGCAAGCAGCCGCGGUAAUACGUAGGGUGCAAGCGUUAUCCGGAAUUAUUGGGCGUAAAGAGCUCGUAGGCGGUUUGUCGCGUCUGCUGUGAAAUCCCGAGGCUCAACCUCGGGCCUGCAGUGGGUACGGGCAGACUAGAGUGCGGUAGGGGAGAUUGGAAUUCCUGGUGUAGCGGUGGAAUGCGCAGAUAUCAGGAGGAACACCGAUGGCGAAGGCAGAUCUCUGGGCCGUAACUGACGCUGAGGAGCGAAAGGGUGGGGAGCAAACAGGCUUAGAUACCCUGGUAGUCCACCCCGUAAACGUUGGGAACUAGUUGUGGGGUCCUUUCACGGAAUUCCGUGACGCAGCUAACGCAUUAAGUUCCCCGCCUGGGGAGUACGGCCGCAAGGCUAGAACUCAAAGGAAUUGACGGGGACCCGCACAAGCGGCGGAGCAUGCGGAUUAAUUCGAUGCAACGCGAAGAACCUUACCAAGGCUUGACAUACAC